AGUCGAGGGGCAGCAUUUUAGUUUGCUUUGCAAACUAAAGAUGGCGACCGGCGCACGGGCUGAGCUAACACGCUAUCCAACCUGCCGAUAACUCGGGGAUAGCCUUUCGAAAGAAAGAUUAAUAUCCGAUAGUAUAUUAAAACCGCAUGGUUUUUACUAUUAAAGAAUUUCGGUUAUCGAUGGGGAUGCGUUCCAUUAGUUUGUUGGCGGGGUAACGGCCCACCAAGACUACGAUGGAUAGGGGUUCUGAGAGGAAGGUCCCCCACAUUGGAACUGAGACACGGUCCAAACUCAUACGGGAGGCAGCAGUGAGGAAUAUUGGUCAAUGGACGAGAGUCUGAACCAGCCAAGUAGCGUGAAGGAUGACUGCCCUAUGGGUUGUAAACUUCUUUUAUAUGGGAAUAAAGUAUUCCACGUGUGGGAUUUUGUAUGUACCAUAUGAAUAAGGAUCGGCUAACUCCGUGCCAGCAGCCGCGGUAAUACGGAGGAUCCGAGCGUUAUCCGGAUUUAUUGGGUUUAAAGGGAGCGUAGGUGGAUUGUUAAGUCAGUUGUGAAAGUUUGCGGCUCAACCGUAAAAUUGCAGUUGAAACUGGCAGUCUUGAGUACAGUAGAGGUGGGCGGAAUUCGUGGUGUAGCGGUGAAAUGCUUAGAUAUCACGAAGAACUCCGAUUGCGAAGGCAGCUCACUAGACUGCAACUGACACUGAUGCUCGAAAGUGUGGGUAUCAAACAGGAUUAGAUACCCUGGUAGUCCACACAGUAAACGAUGAAUACUCGCUGUUUGCGAUAUACAGUAAGCGGCCAAGCGAAAGCAUUAAGUAUUCCACCUGGGGAGUACGCCGGCAACGGUGAAACUCAAAGGAAUUGACGGGGGCCCGCACAAGCGGAGGAACAUGUGGUUUAAUUCGAUGAUACGCGAGGAACCUUACCCGGGCUUAAAUUGCAUUUGAAUAAUCUGGAAACAGGUUAGCCGCAAGGCAAAUGUGAAGGUGCUGCAUGGUUGUCGUCAGCUCGUGCCGUGAGGUGUCGGCUUAAGUGCCAUAACGAGCGCAACCCUUAUCUUUAGUUACUAACAGGUCAUGCUGAGGACUCUAGAGAGACUGCCGUCGUAAGAUGUGAGGAAGGUGGGGAUGACGUCAAAUCAGCACGGCCCUUACGUCCGGGGCUACACACGUGUUACAAUGGGGGGUACAGAAGGCAGCUACCUGGCGACAGGAUGCUAAUCCCAAAAACCUCUCUCAGUUCGGAUCGAAGUCUGCAACCCGACUUCGUGAAGCUGGAUUCGCUAGUAAUCGCGCAUCAGCCAUGGCGCGGUGAAUACGUUCCCGGGCCUUGUACACACCGCCCGUCAAGCCAUGAAAGCCGGGGGUACCUGAAGUACGAACCGCAAGGAG
rnacentral:rRNA from 1 species